UCAGGAAUUUGAAUUUUCAAGUGCACCUGGCAUCCCAGUUCGGCCCAAAGAGAAAUGUCAAAAGGUGCGCGCGGACGGGUUUUGUUUUGUUUCGGUUCUUUGUUUUUUCACCGAAGCACUACGGCUGGUGCUCGUUGGAAGGAAAUUCCGACAAUCGACGUCUCAAGUACCUAAGUGCGGAUUCGGAGAACAACAAUGUUGAUACUUCCGUGACCCAGCAGCAGCGGCAAAACGGUGCGCUGCGUAUCAAAAUUUGCAUCAUGCAAGCAUUCGUGAUUUGCAACGGGGACGAUGUGGAGGAAAUUAUUGACGUUUUUUGAACCGGUGGAGAUCACCAAGCGCAUAGAUGCGUUCUUCCUGCUGAUCAGGUUCCUGUACUAGCCCUGACGGUUGUCAAACGAAAGAAGCAACAUACCAUAUCCAAACUGAAUGCGGGGAUUGCUUCACGAGCUGACUCCCUGUUUCCAGCGCCGGACAACUACUGGAUAUUUCGAGACUUCUGAGUCUUCAAAAUGUUUUAUUUUCUCCUUGAAGAACUCGGACGGUUAUGGAACGCCACUCAUUCCUUGACUCAGGGGGACAACACCAGAUAAUAGCCAUAGUACAGUUGACAAGGACACUGGAAACAUCUUCCAAGGAUUUUGUAAGCAUCAUUUAGUAGAUUCAAAAAGCCAACCCAUGACUUUCAUCCGUGUAGUGCAGAAGCAAUUGUUCAAAUUAUUUUUAUUUCUAUAUGCAUCUGAAAAAUUGCAAUUCAUUUGAAAAUUUUUUCUUUAUUGUACAUUAACCAAAAUGCAUGUCUUGAUUGUGAAAUAUUGUAACAACAUUAAAAUGUAAUGUUUUUCUGUUAAAUAAAAUUGUUCGAGCAUA